GGGGAUUUAGCUCAGCGGCAUAAGCACCUGCCUUGCAAGCAGGAGGUCAUGAGUUCCAUCCCCG
rnacentral:tRNA from 1 species